UGUAAUUUAAGGCUUCCUAUCAACAGCUACCUGUGUUCAUGAACAAGCCAGGAGUACGUUGAUAGGGUGCUGUCUAUGGUAGUACCGUAUAUUUUGUUAUGAUGAGUCAUUGGUAAACUCGUUUUCCAUCCCCCAAAAGCGAUCGUUCUGGUUGUUUAUAUUUAUGUCGAGUGGGAAAGAAAAAUGUCUAGAGCAGUGUCAUUGAACUGUAGGCCCGCGCGCCAGUCGAUUAAGUGUGGCCCGCGCGCCAGUCGAUUUAGUGUGGCCCGCGUGCACUCAUUCAUUAAUUUUAUAUGAGGAAAAAAAUACUUAAAUGAUAUUCAGCAAAGGUCAAGUGUGUGGAAUAAUAACGAUUAGCUUGUUAUGACAUUGCUGCUACAAUAACAUAUAUCUUGUUUACCGUUGGGGUUUCAUGGCGUAGUGACAGUCUUGGGAACCCAGUGUGUGUGGGAUGCCAGCGGUCAUAUCCCAUACAAAAUACAAUAAAUAAAUAACGUUAUGAAAAUAAUUCACAUCACAAUUCUUUAAUACAUACUGGCGUGAACAUAAGGUGGUUAAAUAGAGCAACUUUACAAAAAAGAUGGGGAAGAUGGGGAAAUAGACCAACUUUAAAAAAAAGAAAAAGGGCCCUCGUGGCCCAGUGGGUAGAGUGAUGCACUUUGAGUUUGGCGUGAGGGAAGUGAGGGGCGCGUAGGUUCGAACCCCCCUCUCGGAACUCACAAAAACCUUGAAAGAGCAUCCCUCCAUCACCAUGUGUGAUGGAACUGCCCACGGGGAGGAGGGGAGGUGAGUGCACAGCGCUUCCCUUCUCUCCCCUACCUAACCCUGGCAAGUCUACGGACUACCAGGCAAAAAAUAAUAAAAAAAAAUAAAUAAAUAAAAAACAAAAAAUAAAAAAUAAAAAAUAAAUAAAUAAAGGUAAGUGCAUAGCACUUCUCUUCUCUCCACCUAACAGAAUAAAAAAUAUAAAGGUGAGUGCAUAGCACUUCCCUUCUCUUCCAACCUACCAGGCAAAAGAUAGAAAAAAAAAUAAAUAAAGAAUUAAGGUGAGUGCAUAGCACUUCCCUUGUCUCCGGCAAAAGAUAGAAAAGAAAAAAUAGUCUCCUAACCUACCACGCAAAAAAAAAAAUAAAUAAAUAAAUAAAAUAAAAUAAAUAAAUAAAUAAAGAUAAAUAAAUAAAUAAAUAAAAAUAAAUAAAAACCUCCUUACCACCUCGGACCUCGGGAGAGCAAGGGAGGUGAGUGCACAGCACUUCCCUUCUCUCCCCAAGUCUACGGACUGCCAGACUAAAAAAAAAAAAUAUAUAUAGGUAUAAAAAAAAUAAUAAAUAAUAGAAUAAGUAAAAAAAAAAAAAGUAAAUAAAACAAUAACAAUAAAAAUCCUACUCCCCUUUCAAUAAAACUGACUGAGUCUGGCAAUCAACAAUAAAUAAUAAAAAUAAAACAAUACCAACUGACUGACCCUGACAACUAAAAAAAUAAAAUAUAUAUAGGUAUAAAAAAAAUAAUAAUAGAAUAAGUAAAAAAAAAAAAAGUAAAUAAAACAAUAACAAUAAAAAUCCUACUCCCCUUUCAAUAAAACUGACUGAGUCUGGCAAUCAACAAUAAAUAAUAAAAAUAAAACAAUACCAACUGACUGACCCUGACAACCCCAAAGACCACCACCCACCUGGGAAGCACGGGAGGUGAGUGUGCAGCACCUCCCUACCCUUCCCAGUCUCCCAGUUUGACUUUGACCACCAAUCUGACUCAUCCUACCAACUCCAAAGGGCAACUCCAACUGUACAGACCACCAGCACCACCACCCUUCUGAUCUCGGCAAGGUGAGUGCGUAGCACUUCCCUGGACUGACCCUGACUGACUGACCCUGGCAACUCCAAAAACAACCAACCUGACUGAC